rnacentral:lncRNA from 1 species
GUAAGCAGCCUCCCUGACGCCUAUGGGCGCGUCCGGGGCGGGGCCUCGGGGUCGCGUUCCUUAACGUCGCUGCGGCUGGACCAGUGUCAGAUGCUGAGCAUAUUUUUCGCCGCCACGGAAGCAGGGAGGGGAGACUCUGCCACCCCGGGCCGUACAGGGACAGGCAGUCACCAGGCACAAGCAGUCUAACAGAAGAGACUGCCUAAAAGAGCCCCACUGUGGCCAGAUGGUGACAGUUGGGUGGAGUUUAUGAGGGAUCAACCAAGAACAUUAGCCAAAGGGAGAGGGAAAAAAGGGCUUAAGCCCAAGAAAGAUCAAAUGAUCAGGAUUGAUGACAUAAAAAUGCAGGCCCGGGGUGGGAGUAGCCCAGUGAUAAGGAUCUGGCUUAGCCUGUGCGAGGGCCUGGGUUCAAGGUCCAGAGGCUUCAGGGCUGGAAGGACUGGAGGCAGAACCGUUUGUGGGAGGGGCAAGAUUUAGAGACCCCUUUGGUAGCAAAAUUUAGGACUCUAAGAAAAAGCUCAGUUUGGCUGUGCGGUGGCAGCGCACACCUUUAGUUCCAGCACUCAGAAGGCAGGGGUAGAUGGAUCUCUGAGUUCAAGGUACAAAUCGAAUUCCAGGACAGGAUUGUUACAGUUCAAGGACAGUUACACAGAGAAACCCUGACUCAAAAGGGAAGGAGGGAAGAAAGGAAGGCUAGAAAACCCCAGGCUCAGAGGAGAGAAAGGACUUGAUUGCCUGAGGCCACAUGCGGACCUGGGGCUGGUUCCCAGCACCCCACACAGAAGCUCACAACCCUCUGUAACUCCAGUCCCAGGGGAUCAAACACCCUCAUCUGAUGUCUGAUGGCACCAAGUAUGCAAAUGAAGCACAGACAAACAUGCAGGUAAAACACCCAUACCCAGUAUGAGUUCAAGUCCAUUUGGGGCUUAAUAGUGAGUUCCAAGGCAGCCUGGGCUAAGAAAGAGACACUGUCUCAAAAAAACAAAUAAAAUAAAUAUUUAGCGAUAAAAUUCAGAGGUAGGGAAUAAUGCUUAGCAUGCACAAAGCUGGGGUUCAAUCCUAAUAGCAGGAGAGAAAAGAACAUGUUGGCAAAGGUGUGAAAAAACUGGAACUCUGAUGCUUUGCUGAUAAAGGUAUGAUGGAAUGAGUAAUGGGAAAACUAUAAGUUUUUUUAAAAGUUAAGCAAUGACUGUCACAUGACCUAUCAAUUCCAUUCCAAUGUAUAUACUACAAAAUUCCCAAGUGGGAAAAUGGCAGAUACCUAUAUACUUGUGUUCAUGGCAAUAUGUUUCACAAUAUUCAACCAUAGAGACAAUGUACUGUCCACCAACUGUUGUGGAAUAGUUUCUUUGUACAUUGUGAAGACGUGUCACUCUCAUUGGUUUAAAAAAAAAAAAACCUGAACGCUGAUAGCUAGGCAGAACUUCCAGGCACAGAGGACACUGAGAAGAAGGGUGGCGAUUCCAGGAGACUUGGAGGAAGCAGCAUGGGCAGUACAGGGUAAAGGUAACUGAACCACAUAAAAGAACAUUGACUAAAAAAUAUAGGUUAAUUUAAAUUAUAAGAACUAGUUAGAAACAAGUCUAAGCCAUCAACUGAAGUUUCAUAACUAAUAAUAAGUCUACAUGUCAUUAUUGGCAAGGCAAAGGUCCUGACAAAAAAGACUGACUACAAAUGGCACCCAAU